UCUUAUGGAUGAACAAAGAAAGUAGUUUCUUGAGAUAGAGUGUACUUCUGGUGAAGAUGCUGUGAA
rnacentral:pre_miRNA from 6 species